UACAGAGGUCCCGAGCGUUGUUCGGAAUUACUGGGCGUAAAGCGCACGUAGGCGGCUUUGUAAGUUAGAGGUGAAAGCCCGGGGCUCAACUCCGGAAUUGCCUUUAAGACUGCAUCGCUAGAAUUGUGGAGAGGUAAGUGGAAUUCCGAGUGUAGAGGUGAAAUUCGUAGAUAUUCGGAAGAACACCAGUGGCGAAGGCGACUUACUGGACACAUAUUGACGCUGAGGUGCGAAAGCGUGGGGAGCAAACAGG
rnacentral:rRNA from 1 species